GUCUUCCUGUUUUAUCUAUCUUUGAAGGAGGACACUCCUUCAAGCGAAACAGGUUUUAGUUGGAAGAAUACUUUUUCAAAAGCUCCCAGACAGCAUAUACAGCCUUAUUUGACUCGGGAAUAGGACAAUGAACAACAUUUGGCACAGUAAUUAACUUAUUCAAGGAUUCAUAAGACUUUAAGUUGGGAGAAUGGAACCACUCCACGACCCAGAGUGAGGGCCAGUAUGAGAAGAAUCCAGGGGCCAGCCCCUCUGAGGGUGAGAAUCGUGACGAUUGCCAACCUCACCAACCUCUAACGAUCCCACAACAAUGUAAAGAAGACCAAUCUGGCUCCAAGACAGAAGUGUAUUAUGAAAAUCAGUUAUUUCCUUGGAGAUGUAACAUCACAGCCUCAACAGCGGUGGUCCCAUUUCAGGCUGGGGUGGCUGCUGUGAACAUACCUCCUCAUCCAGGCUUCAUCUCAAUAGGACCAUCUCCAGACUGUGUCCAGGCAGCUCUACCUCACAGCAUUCACCUCAACACCAGCUUCUUCAAUGAUGCAGUGAAAACACAUCAGGGAUGAUGAGCUGCAGUAGCCCUGGAAGAAGAGAUGAAGUCUCGUGUUGCAAUGUCUCCUAGCCCUGGUUGGAGUCCUUGUGCCAUCAUUCUGCCUGUUCUCAUGCAUUACGACCUAGGUGAGGAGGUUGUGUGAAACAGCAGUAUAUCUUCCCCACCAGAUCGUCAUGACCAUAGAAGUAAACUUGAAUGACCUGACGGAUCUCACCCGUUUCAUUCUUUAUUGGGGAUCCAGAUGUCCCUAUUGGAGAAGAUAGGGCCUACUGCCAUUGAAAUGACCCCGAUCCCUAUGAACCUCCCUUGAUCCCCCGAUUGUUAUUAUUAAGUUACCUUCAGGAGUUCCAUUCAGAUCACCCCUUUCUGUGUAAAAUGCCAAUUUCCCAAAAACCAGAAGGUUUUAAGUUCUGUCUGACAAUAGAUCAGAUUAAUAAUGUAUGGUGAUGCUUAUGGUUUCCAGGGCAUCAAAGGGGGAAUUGUGGUGGCAAAAUUUGGGGUGAGCUAUUGUAACUUCUCAAGGGAUAAGUUCUGUGUUGAACUGUGAUGUUAUGCCUUGCAUAGACUCCUGUUAUGUCUGCACCCUAACACAAGGCCAUUGUGUUCUGGAACUGUUGCUUGUAUAAAAUAACUGUUGUGUAACAAUAUGAUUGUUUGAUCACCUCCCACUAUAUAAGGGACAUGUAACCAUUUAGAGUUUGAGUUCUUACCUGUGAAAUCAGAGAUAGAUGUCCCUCGCAGCUGCUUGGUUAAAGAUUUUUCUAUUAUACAAUUAUUAAAUAGUCUCUGCCUUAAUCUUUGGAUCGAGCUUUCCACAACAGUACUGAAGGUCGGGUUGAUAACACUUCUCUGCUGAUAUUUUGCAUCAGAUUAACUCCGAAAUAGGGACAAAAUCGGCAGACAACAGGUAAAGUAAGUUGAAAUGAAGUUUGUUCAACAUUCUGACUUGUAAUGGGACUGUUUGGGAAUGCUGAGCCUACAUGUUAGAGACGAGUGUGUAAGUAUUUUACUCUCAGAUUCUAAAAGAGGAUAGCUGUACGUAGGCCUAUCUAUAGUGCCUUCAGAAAGUAUUCACAACCCUUGACUUUUUCCACAUUUUGUUGUCACUGGCUUACACACAAUACCACAUAAUGUCAAAGAUGAAUUCUGUUUUUUGAAAUUUUGACAAAUUAAUUAAAAAUAAAAUCUUG